rnacentral:rRNA from 1 species
GUUUUAUAUUUUAUAUUAGGUUUAAUUUUAGGAAUUUUAAUUUUACCUUUUUUAUAAUAUUUUAUUGGGGUGAUAAAAAGAUAAAGAUAACUCUUUUUUUAUUUUUACAUUUAUAUAUGAUAAUUUGGUCCAUUAUUUAUGAUUACAAGAAAAAAU